GGAAUGCGAUAAGUAAUGUGAAUUGCAGAAUUCAGUGAAUCAUCGAAUCUUUGAACGCACAUUGCGCCCGCCAGAAUUCUGGCGGGCAUGCCUGUUCGAGCGUCAUUUCAACCCUCGAGCUCCCCUUGCGGGGGGAGCCCGGCGUUGGGGACGCGGCGCCAACAGCGCCGGCCCCGAAAUGGAGUGGCGGCCCGUCCGCGGCGACCUCUGCGUAGUAACAUCCACUCGCACCGGGACCCGGGCGCGGCCACGCCGUAAAACACCCCACCUUCCGAAUGUUGACCUCGAAUCAGGUAGGAAUACCCGCUGAACUUAAGC
rnacentral:misc_RNA from 1 species